rnacentral:rRNA from 1 species
UACGUAGGGAGCGAGCGUUAUCCGGAAUUAUUGGGUGUAAAGGGUGCGUAGACGGGAAUACAAGUUAGUUGUGAAAUCCCUCGGUUUAACUGAGGAACUGCAACUAAAACUAUAUUUCUUGAGUGCAGGAGAGGUAAGUGGAAUUCCUAGUGUAGCGGUGAAAUGCGUAGAUAUUAGGAGGAACACCAGUGGCGAAGGCGACUUACUGGACUGUAACUGACGUUGAGGCACGAAAGUGUGGGGAGCAAACAGG